rfam:Drosophila persimilis strain MSH-3 cont1.002203, whole genome shotgun sequence.
CAUACUCUGAUGAAUAUAACUAUUUUCUGACAUCUCUUAUGAACCGUUGUGAUUCAAUACAAUUUGUGUAAUUUCUGAAGCC